rnacentral:rRNA from 1 species
AGACCCGAAACCCGGUGAUCUAGCCAUGGGCAGGUUGAAGGUUGGGUAACACUAACUGGAGGACCGAACCGACUAAUGUUGAAAAAUUAGCGGAUGACCUGUGGCUGGGGGUGAAAGGCCAAUCAAACCGGGAGAUAGCUGGUUCUCCCCGAAAGCUAUUUAGGUAGCGCCUCGUGAAUUCAUCUCCGGGGGUAGAGCACUGUUUCGGCUAGGGGGCCAUCCCGGCUUACCAACCCGAUGCAAACUGCGAAUACCGGAGAAUGUUAUCACGGGAGACACACGGCGGGUGCUAACGUCCGUCGUGAAGAGGGAAACAACCCAGACCGCCAGCUAAGGUCCCAAAGUCAUGGUUAAGUGGGAAACGAUGUGGGAAGGCCCAGACAGCCAGGAUGUUGGCUUAGAAGCAGCCAUCAUUUAAAGAAAGCGUAAUAGCUCACUGGUCGAGUCGGCCUGCGCGGAAGAUGUAACGGGGCUAAACCAUGCACCGAAGCUGCGGCAGCGAACGUAUCACCCAAGACAACUUUACGGAGUUGACGAUUGACGGAGCGAAGCGACGUCAAAGCGUUCAUUAAAGUCGAGUUGGCUUAGGGAUACGUUCG